CUGGGCAGGAUGAGAAGAGUUUGGCUGGAAGUCCUGCUCAGCCAACCACCUCUCUCCUCAG
ensembl:miRNA Mir6960 microRNA 6960